AGUCGAGCGAGCUUGCCUAUUGAAAUUCUUCGGAAUGGACAUAGAUACAAGCUAGCGGCGGAUGGGUGAGUAACGCGUGGGUAACCUGCCCUUAAGUCUGGGAUACCAUUUGGAAACAGAUGCUAAUACCGGUUAAAAGCUACUUUCGCAUGAAAGAAGUUUAAAAGGCGGCGUAAGCUGUCGCUAAAGGAUGGACCUGCGAUGCAUUAGCUAGUUGGUAAGGUAACGGCUUACCAAGGCGAUGAUGCAUAGCCGAGUUGAGAGACUGAUCGGCCACAUUGGGACUGAGACACGGCCCAAACUCCUACGGGAGGCAGCAGUAGGGAAUCUUCCACAAUGGACGCAAGUCUGAUGGAGCAACGCCGCGUGAGUGAAGAAGGUUUUCGGAUCGUAAAGCUCUGUUGUUGGUGAAGAAGGAUAGAGGUAGUAACUGGCCUUUAUUUGACGGUAAUCAACCAGAAAGUCACGGCUAACUACGUGCCAGCAGCCGCGGUAAUACGUAGGUGGCAAGCGUUGUCCGGAUUUAUUGGGCGUAAAGCGAGCGCAGGCGGAUUGAUAAGUCUGAUGUGAAAGCCUUCGGCUCAACCGAAGAACUGCAUCAGAAACUGUCAAUCUUGAGUGCAGAAGAGGAGAGUGGAACUCCAUGUGUAGCGGUGGAAUGCGUAGAUAUAUGGAAGAACACCAGUGGCGAAGGCGGCUCUCUGGUCUGUAACUGACGCUGAGGCUCGAAAGCAUGGGUAGCGAACAGGAUUAGAUACCCUGGUAGUCCAUGCCGUAAACGAUGAGUGCUAAGUGUUGGGAGGUUUCCGCCUC
rnacentral:rRNA from 1 species